rnacentral:rRNA from 1 species
AUUGAACGCUGGCGGCAGGCCUAACACAUGCAAGUCGAACGAGUGGCGGACGGGUGAGUAAUGUCUGGGAACCUGCCCGAUGGAGGGGGAUAACUACUGGAAACGGUAGCUAAUACCGCAUACCAUCGGAUGUGCCCAGAUGGGAUUAGCUAGUAGGUUGGGUAACGGCUCACCUAGGCGACGACCCCUAGCUGGUCUGAGAGGAUGACCAGCCACACUGGAACUGAGACACGGUCCAGACUCCUACGGGAGGCAGCAUGGGGGAAUAUUGCACAAUGGGCGCAAGCCUGAUGCAGCCAUGCCGCGUGUAUGAAGAAGGCCUUCGGGUUGUAAAGUACUUUCAGCGAGGAGGCGUUACUCGCAGAAGAAUCACCGGCUAACGCCGUGCCAGCAGCCGCGGUAAUUC